CACAGUCUGUGUAGCCAGCCUCAGGCUCCACAAACGGCAACAACAAUAAUCUGUGCCAACCUGCACCACGAAACAUACACCGUUCCAGCCAAUAACCAACAAAAAGAAGUUGAGGGUGGGGGUUGGGGGGUUAGUGCACGGAAGGGAGG